rnacentral:rRNA from 1 species
AACGAACGCUGGCGGCAUGCCUAACACAUGCAAGUCGAACGGGAUCUUCGGGUCUAGUGGCGCACGGGUGCGUAACGCGUGGGAAUCUGCCCUGUGGUUCGGCAGAACCGUUGGAUACGACUGCUACUACCGGAUGAUGACCGUAGGCCAAAGACUUAUCGCCAGAGGAUGAGCCCGCGUAGGAUUAGCUAGUUGGUGUGGUAAAGGCGCACAAAGGCGACGUUCCUUAGCUGGCCUGAGAGGAUGAUCAACCACACGGAGACUGAGACACGGCCCAGACUCCUGCGGGAGGCAGCAGUGGGGAAUAUUGGACAAUGGGCGAAAGCCUGAUCCAGCAAUGCCGCGUGAGUGAUGAAGGCCUUAGGGUUGUAAAGCUCUUUUACGCGGGAUGAUAAUGACAGUACCGGGAGAAUAAGCUCCGGCUAACUCCGUGCCAGCCGCCGCCGUAA